rnacentral:rRNA from 1 species
UACGUAGGGCGCAAGCGUUGUCCGGAAUCAUUGGGCGUAAAGAGCUCGUAGGCGGCUUGUCACGCCGGAUGUGAAAGCCCGGGGCUUAACUCCGGGACUGCAUUCGAUACGGGCGGGCUAGAGUGUGGUAGGGGAGAUCGGAAUUCCUGGUGUAGCGGUGAAAUGCGCAGAUAUCAGGAGGAACACCGGUGGCGAAGGCGGAUCUCUGGGCCAUUACUGACGCUGAGGAGCGAAAGCGUGGGGAGCGAACAGG